rnacentral:rRNA from 1 species
UUUUAGAAAAACUUAGUAAUGUUUAUUUGGAUAAACUUUACCUUUUGCAUCAUGAUUAUCAGAUAUUUUUCAUUAUUGAUAGAUCUGAAACUGUGUGAUUUUCAUCUUUUUAGUUUGGAACAGCUAUUCUAUGUGUAAUAGUUUAUUGAAAAAAUGGUGAGGAUGUGAGAAGUAAGUCAUACUCAGUUAUAUCCGAUUAAGGGGUUUUUAUUUUAGUUACGCUUUUAGUUAUAAGAUUGAGAGCGUUUUAGUAUUUUUAUUUCACUUUUGUUUAGUUAGGAUGAGAAGUUUCUUUAGUUAAUUUUAUGUGUUAUAACAUUUUUAUUUUGGUUUUAUAUCUAUUUUAGUUCCUCUUGUUUAUUAAUAAGCUUUAAUUUUAUUAUUGGUUAAUAAGUAAGAUUAAUUGUUUUCUUUUUUCUUGAUUUUAUUCUGACUGUUUAUCAAAAACAUUUCUUCUUUUAUUUAAGAGGUAGUCCCUGCUCAAUGAUAAGUUAAAUAGCCGCAUUAGCCUGAGUGUGUUAAGGUAGCAUAAUUGCUAGCCCUUUAAUUGGGGGAUUGUUUGAAAGGGUUAACAAGAGUAUGUUGUUAGAAGAGAGCAUUUACUGAAAUUAAUAUAUUAGUAAAGAAUCUAAUGUUAUUUUUUGGGACGGGAAGACCCUAGGAGGUUUAUAUUAUUUUUAUUUGGUUGGGACAAUUAUAAAUAUUUUAUUUUUGUUGAGAUCCUUUUUUAAGAAUUCGUUUAAAGUUACCCUAGGGAUAACAGGGUAAGAAGUGAGAAGAGUUCAAAUCGUUUCAUUUAAUUGCUACCUCGAUGUUGACUUAAGAGAAAGUUUUAUGCUGUAGAGGGUUUAAAAACAGGUCUGUUCGUCCUUUAAAUUCUUUCAUGAGUUGAGUUAAGACCGAUGUAAAUCAGGUUGGUUCCUAUCUAAAGUUGAUAUAAUUUAGUACGAAAGGAUUGAUUAUUUUUUAUGUUA